rnacentral:rRNA from 1 species
CGCAAUGGGCGAAAGCCUGACGGAGCAAUACCGCGUGAGGGAUGACGGCCUAUGGGUUGUAAACCUCUUUUUUCAGGGAGGAAAAAAUGACGUGUACCUGAAGAAUAAGCAUCGGCUAACUCCGUGCCAGCAGCCGCGGUAAGACGGAGGAUGCAAGUGUUAUCCGGAAUCACUGGGCGUAAAGCGUCUGUAGGUGGUUUAAUAAGUCAACUGUUAAAUCUUGAGGCUCAACUUCAAAAUCGCAGUCGAAACUAUUAGACUAGAGUAUAGUAGGGGUAAAGGGAAUUUCCAGUGGAGCGGUGAAAUGCGUAGAGAUUGGAAAGAACCAACAAUGGCGAAAGCCACUCUACUGGGCUAUCCACCCGUUUUUUUUGUGAGAGCCC